rnacentral:rRNA from 1 species
UACAGAGGUCUCAAGCGUUGUUCGGAUUCAUUGGGCGUAAAGGGUGCGUAGGUGGCGCGGUAAGUCGGGUGUGAAAUUUCGGGAGCUUAACUCCGAAACUGCAUUCGAUACUGCCGUGCUUGAGGACUGGAGAGGAGACUGGAAUUUACGGUGUAGCAGUGAAAUGCGUAGAUAUCGUAAGGAAGACCAGUGGUGAAGGCGGGUCUCUGGACAGUUCCUGACACUGAGGCACGAAGGCCAGGGGAGCAAACGGG